rnacentral:lncRNA from 1 species
AUGAUGAGGCUGAGGAAGAGAAAGGUGAGAAAGAAAAAGAAAAAGAUGAUGAAGAAAAUCCCAAGAUUGAAGAUGUGGCUUCAGACGAAGAGGAUGAUAGUGGUAUGGAUAAGAAAAAGAAAACCAAGGCUGGAUGCAGUGGCUCAUGUCUGUAACCCCAGCACUUUGGGAGGUCAAGCAAGUGCUAGGCACAUAAUUAAUGUUUUCGCUGCCAAGAUGUACAGCAGCAGGUGCACGUGUUCGAGAACCUUCCAGUUCAUGGUAGACCAACUGUGAAUUCACUCCUGAUCAACACAAACCCCCACCAGACAAGUACAUGAGAGGCGGCUGGAAAGUCAAGUCCAAGGAGCUGGAAGGUCUGAUUGCUCCCGACAGCGGAGCCUCCUGUGCCUGGCUGCACACAAACCAUCCAAAAUUGACAUUUAAGAGGAUAUAAAUCCAAUGGUAAAUGUGGACAGAUAGUUUUCCUUCCUGAGUCAUUAAAACUCCCAUUGUUAAAAGCUUUGCACUCCAUGACUUAUAAUGAAAGAGGUAAAAUGAUCCAAAUUGUGAAAAAAUACUGGUGUUGUGACUGUUCUAAAACUGUUAACAUGGUUUAUGACCAGUAUUUGGCUUGUUAAACCUAUAAUUCCGAGAAGACACUUGAUACAGAUUGGCUCUGUGUCCCCACCCAAAGCUCAUGUUGAAUUGUAAUUUCCAAUAUUGGGGGAGGGACUGGUGGGAGGUGAUUGGAUCAUGGGGGUGGAUUUCUACUUUACUGUUUUUGUGUUAGUGAGUGAGUUCUCACAAGAUCUGGUGGUUUAAAGGUAUGUAGCACUUCCUCCUUCACUCUCUCUGUCCUGCCACCAUGUGAAGAUGUGUUUGCUUCUCCUUCAGCCUUACACCAUGAUUGUAAGUUUCCUGAGGCCUCCCCAGCCAUGCUCCUGUACAGCCUGUGGAAUUGUGACUCCAUUAAACCUAUUUUCUUCAUAAAUUACCCAGUCUCACGUAGUUCUUUAUAGCAGUGUGAGAAUGAACUAAUACAACAGCCAAUACAUCAGGUACAUUUCUGCUACCUGAUGAGCCAUUUGAACAUUUCAUAGAGGGAUUUCAUUCAAUUGCCAUUUUCAGUGCAUGUUUUCUGGUUGUGUAGAAGCUUUCCCAUGAAGGAAAGCUGAUGCCAUUAUAGUAACUGAAAGGUUAUUAGAAUGUGUAUUUCUCUCAUGGGGCAUUCCUGGAAAAAUCUCCAGUGAUAAAGGUACUUACUUUACUGGACAAGUUGUAAAACAGUUAAAUAAGAUACUAGAAAUACAAUGGCAUUAGACAAAGCCAACUAAGUUAAUUAGAUUGCCUUGGUUAAAGGUAUUGAAUAUUGAUGGAAUUCAGGUUCACUUCCACUGGAAAAAUAUAAGUUGAACAUAAGUUCCCUAAGUUUUGCUUUUUGCUCACACUCUUACCUAGGUGAGAACCUAACCAAAAGGGGGAAAUUAUUAAGCAAAAGUAUGAGAGGUGACUGCUUGUGCUGAGGUCUUGCACUUUGCUCCAACAGAUCAGACCAAAUCAAAAUGAAGUCACUCAUGCUAAAUGCCACAUAACAAAAUGGAAACUUUAAAGGAGCAGAUAAAUCCCAAAACAGAUCAGUGUUUUCAUCUCCCUGAAAACAAGAGAUUUUAAUCUGCCUGAGUCAACAGAGCAAGGAAGUACUACCUGCUUUAACCCUUCCAGAAGAGACUGAGGAGGCCUGAUGUUGAUGAAUCAGGUUUUCCCCCUUAUUGUUCUGUUUAUUUGUCCCCACUUUACAAAAUUCAUUGUUUUGCUAUUUCCCAAUGGGAUUUGAGACCAAAUAAAUCCAUUAUAAUGGUGACAGAGCGUGAGUGACAUCAGUGCCUGAACUUUUGGUCAACAUCUCAAAAUUGAGAAGUUGACCCAAAGGGCAGAAUUAUUAAAUUAAGUUCAGCCUAAAACUGCCCCUGUGUAUAUUUUAAGUUUGUCCUAAAGGUUUCUCCAUAUAGAGUAAACUGCAAUCUAACUUGUGUCAACGGACUGUAAUCCACUCUUGUAAAAAGUAGCUGAGUCUCAGCCAAUCACAGCAGUUGAGUUUCAGUCAAUUAUAGGCAGCCAACUGUAAAAAUCAAGUUGAAUUAAGGUGAACACUGAAUUCUAACCAAUCUAGAUGUCACUGUACCUCAUUUUCAUUUUCUGUAUAUCACUUACUUUUCUAUGGCUGAAAAUAUAAACUGCACAUGUGAUGGGGCAGAACAUUUUGAACCAUUUUGGUCCAGACUGCUGCCUGAUUCUAGAAUCACAAAUAAAAACCCUAAGAUCUAUAAAACCAGAUUUGUUGUAAUUUUAUCUUUUAACAAUUCUUAUGAAGUCCAUAUAGGACAAUUGUGUACUAAAAUCUGAUAGUAGAUAUGACUCUUACUGAGGCUCCUGUGUAAAUUCAAGGGAAGAACAGAAGGAGCACAUUGUAGGUGCUCAAAAAUUUUAAAAUAAAUG